rnacentral:rRNA from 1 species
AUACGAAGGGGGCUAGCGUUGUUCGGAAUUACUGGGCGUAAAGCGCAUGUAGGCGGACAUUUAAGUCAGGGGUGAAAGCCCGGGGCUCAACCCCGGGACUGCUUUGGAAACUGUGGAACUGGAGUGCAGGAGAGGUAAGUGGAAUUCCGAGUGUAGAGGUGAAAUUCGUAGAUAUUCGGAGGAACACCAGUGGCGAAGGCGGCUUACUGGUCCAUUACUGACGCUGAGGUGCGAAAGCGUGGGGAGC